rnacentral:lncRNA from 1 species
CUUUCCCUCUGACCUUUCUGUUUGUAUGUAUCUACCUCCACACAGGUCGACAGAUCACUUCCCAUAGACGGGUUGGCAGACAAAGUCAGGAAAAUGAUGCGUGCAUCGAGGGGGCCAGAAGCUGUGCGUUGUUAUGAGUCUGAACGGUCAGAUAGCAGCAAUGACAACAAGCUGCCAUGUGGGGAAUCGUAGGUGGAUUGUUCGUUUCAGCUAGGCACGACUCCAACACCAUCAUCAAGUUAGCCGAUGACACAACAGUGGUAGGCCUGAUCACCGACAACGAUGAGACAUCCAGAGACCUGGCCGUGUGGUGCCAGGACAACAACCUCUCCCUCAACGUGAUCAAGACAACGGAGAUGAUUGUGGACUACAGGAAAAGGAGGACCGAGCAAGCUCCCAUUAUCAUCGACGGAGCAGGUUGAGAGUUUCAAGUUCCUUGGCGUCCACAUCACCAACAAACUAACAUGAUUCAAACACACUAAGACAGUCAUGAAGAGGGCACGACAAAACACUUUCCCCCUCAGGAGACUGAAAAGAUUUGGCAUGGGUCCUCAGAUCCUCAAAAGGUUCUACAGCGGCACCAUCGAGAGCAUCCUGACUGGUUGCAUCACUGCCUGGUAUGGCAACUGCUUGGACUCUGACCCCAAGGCACUACAGAGGGUAGUGCGUACAGCCCAGUACAUCACUGGGGCCAAGCUUCCUGCCAUCCAGGACCUCUAUACCAGGUGGUGUCAGAGGAAGGCCCUAAAAUUUGUCAAAGACUCCAGCCACCCUAGUCAUAGACUGUUCUCUCCGCUAUCGCAUGGCAAAGCGGUACCGGAGCGGCAAGUCUAGGUCCAAAAAGCUUCUUAACAGCUUCUACCUCCAAGCCAUAAGACUCCUGAAUAGCUAAUCAAAGGGCUACCCAGACCCCUCUUUUACACUGCUGCUACUCUGUUUAUUAUCUAUGCAUAGUCACUUUAACUCUACCUACAUGUACAUAUUACCUCAAUUACCUCGACUAACCGGUGCCCCCGCACAUUGACUCUAUACCGGUACCCCCUGUAUAUAGCCUCGCUAUUGUUAUUUUACUGCUGCUGUUUAAUUAUUUGUUACUUUUAUUUUCUAUUUUUUACUUAUCAAUUUUUUUACUUAACACUUAUUUUUCUUAAAACUGCAUUGUUGGUUAAGGGCUUGUAAGUAAGCAUUUCACUGUACGGUCUACACCUCUUGUAUUCGGCGCAUGUGACAAAUACAAUUUGAUUUGAUUAGAAAGCUAAAAAUCUACCUAGCUAGCUAGUUGACUGCUGUGGCUAGCCAAAAGGGACUUGUUUUGAAAGUUGGAUCAUGUAAUCCUUUGGGGCUCCCAAGUGGUGCAGCGGUCUAAGGCACUGCAUCUCAGUGCAAGAGGUGUCACUAUAGUCCCUGGUUCAAAUCCAAGCUGUCUCACACCUGGCUGUAAUUGGGAGUCCCAUAGGGCGGUGCACAAUUAGCCCAGUGUCAUCCUGGUUUGGCUGGGAUAGGCUGUCAAAGGAACUGGGAAAUGUCCAUGGCAUUGUUGUCGCCUUAGCUUGUUACAUAACUUCCUAGUGAUAGGAACCAUGAGCACCACCGCCAAUCAGCCUACACCACUGCACACACACCCGUCAUUACUAUGACAACUAGAGUAGCCAUGUCAGCAAAUGACUGCAGUCUGAACACACUCUGAUCUGGUCACUUGUAACUUGCUAUUUGGACAAUCAGUAGUACAAAACGGAUUUGAAAAGCAAAACUGAUUUGAACAUUAAGGCCUGCAGUGUGAACAAGGCUUUAGUGUUUCGGGGCUGAGCCCAGCAAUGAGUUUCGGUGAGAAAGUACAGGGACAUUUCCCCUCAGAGGUAGCUAGUGGAACCAGUCCUCUGCUGGGUCCCAUUCUCCUAUGGUAAUCCAACAGGGAGUCACACCCAUAGAGAAGCAUUGUGCUGUGGUGAAAGCUCCCUCUACGCAUGACCGAUCUGUCGGAUCGAACACACGACUAUCAGACACGCACAUACACACACUCACACUCACACAUGGUUUUCCCCGGCCCUUCAUGUCCAACACAACCAUAGGAACCAGAGAAAGAAAAGGUUACUUUAGUUGUCAGGUUAUUCAAAUACAGCAGGUCGAGCAUCUAAGUACUUACCUCAAGCCCCCAACCAACCAAAACACCACAACACCUUAGCAGGCGGUGCCACAUGUAAAGCUGGAGGUCAGUCCUUCCUGGGUCAGAGGUCAGUAUUGUGACAUGUGGAGUGGUGAUCCAUAAUGACAUGUGAACUCCUCAGUCGUUCAUUUUGUGUCAAAAUAGUGACGAUUAUGUUUGUAACAUCAUCCACCUUACCUGAGUCCUGAAUACCUGCAUCAGCUCCCUGAUCUAAGGCUUUAGCUCAGCGAGCUAACACAGUGUUAUGGUGGGCAGAAGACCUAGGUUUGAAACCCAGUCGGUCACAGUUGCACUGCUGUGGUUUACAUUUAUGGCAAUAGUUUGAUUAUAUAAGUUAUAUAAAGGAAACCGCAAUCUAAAUGGUUCAUAAACUCCCAUAUAAAACCACACAAAGAACUGGAAGGUAACAAAUGGAGUAGCCAGACAAGUCAACUACGUAUCAAUAGAAAAAGGAUAAUACACCUGCACCUGCAAGCAAAGAGUAAUGAGUUGGUGCCUGUUGAGGGAGAUUAUCGACAUUGUUGGGUCACUUCCUACUGUAUGUGUGUUUCCUCCACAAUGGGCUCACCUUUUCACCCCUGGUGCAGAUAUCCUUGCCAGACACAAGCCCAAGGCACCUCCAACCAUUUAGGAAGGCCCCAUAGUAGUUGUCUUACAAAGUGCCUGAGGAAUCCGCAAUUAUGUCAUGUAUAUAUGAUGCUAAUGUAACAGAUAUCAAUGAAACAAUAUACGUUCUAUCUGUGUGUUCUAAAUGGGUUAAUCUAUGUUUGGAAAGAGUCACAUUAAAUGAAUUCAAAAUGACACGGGAUCCAAAUUGUGGUGUAAUUAGCAGCGUUAUGCCUCCAGCAGUGAUCUUUAGGGCAACCUAUCCACAAUGAGAAUAAAAUGUAGCAUACGAGUACCUGAAUGCCUGCAUACAAGAUGUGGCUUGUGUUGGCUCUUUGCCUUAAGUACAGAUAAUCCACAAGUGUCAGUGAUUGAGGAGGUUCAAAUCCCACAGCAACAGGCGUGCAGGUGGCACUGGAAAGAAACGUCAUACCAGAAGCUUUUUU